GAGCAAGAACAAUUAAGCUGUCCGGGUAGGUCCCUUUCCUCAUGGGGGCCUGGUGUGCAGUAGUUGAAAACAGCAGGCUCCUAAGGGUGAAUACUCCCUGCUGCCUGUAUGGGUUGUCCCAAGGAAGCUUGGACGCAGUG